UACGUAGGGUGCGAGCGUUGUCCGGAAUUAUUGGGCGUAAAGGGCUCGUAGGCGGUCUGUCGCGUCGUGAGUGAAAACUCAGGGCUUAACCCUGAGCCUGCUUCCGAUACGGGCAGACUAGAGGUAUGCAGGGGAGAACGGAAUUCCUGGUGUAGCGGUGGAAUGCGCAGAUAUCAGGAGGAACACCGGUGGCGAAGGCGGUUCUCUGGGCAUUACCUGACGCUGAGGAGCGAAAGUGUGGGGAGCGAACAGG
rnacentral:rRNA from 1 species